UAAAUGACUCUCGGCAACGGAUAUCUCGGCUCUCGCAUCGAUGAAGAACGUAGCGAAAUGCGAUACUUGGUGUGAAUUGCAGAAUCCCGUGAACCAUCGAGUCUUUGAACGCAAGUUGCGCCCAAAGCCAUUAGGCUGAGGGCACGUCCGCCUGGGUGU
rnacentral:rRNA from 1 species